AUUGAACGCUGGCGGCAGGCCUAACACAUGCAAGUCGAGCGGAUGAAGGGAGCUUGCUCCUGGAUUCAGCGGCGGACGGGUGAGUAAUGCCUAGGAAUCUGCCUGGUAGUGGGGGAUAACGUCCGGAAACGGGCGCUAAUACCGCAUACGUCCUGCGGGAGAAAGUGGGGGAUCUUCGGACCUCACGCUAUCAGAUGAGCCUAGGUCGGAUUAGCUAGUUGGUGGGGUAAAGGCCUACCAAGGCGACGAUCCGUAACUGGUCUGAGAGGAUGAUCAGUCACACUGGAACUGAGACACGGUCCAGACUCCUACGGGAGGCAGCAGUGGGGAAUAUUGGACAAUGGGCGAAAGCCUGAUCCAGCCAUGCCGCGUGUGUGAAGAAGGUCUUCGGAUUGUAAAGCACUUUAAGUUGGGAGGAAGGGCAGUAAGUUAAUACCUUGCUGUUUUGACGGUACCAACAGAAUAAGCACCGGCUAACUUCGUG
rnacentral:rRNA from 1 species